GUGCCAGCCGCCGCGGUAAUACGAAGGGGGCUAGCGUUGCUCGGAAUGACUGGGCGUAAAGGGCGCGUAGGCGGCUGUCUUUGUCGGGCGUGAAAUUCCUGGGCUCAACCUGGGGGCUGCGUUCGAGACGGGACGGCUGGAGGUCAGAAGAGGCUCGUGGAAUUCCCAGUGUAGAGGUGAAAUUCGUAGAUAUUGGGAAGAACACCGGUGGCGAAGGCGGCGAGCUGGUCUGAUACUGACGCUGAGGCGCGACAGCGUGGGGAGCAAACAGGAUUAGAUACCCGCGUAGUCC
rnacentral:rRNA from 1 species